GAAGUCCACACCGAGCUCCUCGUCCCCAAAGCCAUCGCCGGGAGCAGCCAGACUGGGGAAACUCACAUCAAACAACCCACCCUGCUGACUGAGAUAAUGAGAGAGAGGGAGGAAGAAAGUGAAGAGAUGGAGGCACUGGAAGGGCCAGAGAGAGGGAGGGGGAUAAAGAGGCUGUGUGUGUUUAAAAAACACGGUUUGUCAGGUACCGAAGUCUGACUGCAGCAGGAGGAAGCUGUUUCCCAAGUCCUCUUUGAGAGUGAUGUCCUCCGUCCUGCACUGGUUCAGGGAGA